CCUUAAUCCUGGACUUCCUGGCCUCCAGAACUGUGAGCCAAAUAUUAUAUUUGUGGAUUUUCAUAGUUCUUGACUUCUUAUACAAUCGGAGAAUUAGUGGAGGCUGGUUAUAAGUAGUAAGCAUGACUCAAGUUUAAGUGUGUGUCAAACUGGAGAUGGAGGAAUAAGAAACACUUGGCAACUUCAAAGCUCUCACUUUCUUCUGGAGGAAGAGACAGAUAAGUGUAGGUAUAUGCAAAAUGACACUCGCGAUAGACUUAGUAAGCAUGCUGGCAGAAGUUUG